rnacentral:rRNA from 1 species
AUUGAACGCUGGCGGCAGGCCUAACACAUGCAAGUCGAACGAGUGGCGGACGGGUGAGUAAUGUCUGGGACACUGCCUGAUGGAGGGGGAUAACUACUGGAAACGGUAGCUAAUACCGCAUACCAUCGGAUGUCCCCAGGUGGGAUUCGCUAGUAGGUGGGGUAAAGGCUCACCUAGGCGAAGAUCCCUAGCUGGUCUGAGAGGAUGACCAGCCAAACUGGAACUGAGACACGGUCCAGACGCCGACGGGAGGCAGCAGUGGGGAAUAUUGCACAAUGGGCGCAAGCCUGAUGCAGCCAGGCCGCGUGUAUGAAGAAGGCCUUCGGGUUGUAAAGUACUUUCAGCGGGGAGGCGUUACCCGCAGAAGAAGCACCGGCUAACUCCGUGCCAGCCGCCGCGGUAAUUC